rnacentral:lncRNA from 1 species
UUUUUUUUCUUCUGAAUUUUCUUUUAAUUGCUUUAUUUUCAUUAAUUCAUAUUAGUUUCAUUAUUGAUCCAAAAAAUAUGGGUCAUUCACCAAAAAAUUUUAAAUAUUUUUCUCUUUCAUUUUUUGAAUUAAAAUAUUUUUUUUUUGACAAUAUUGAUAUUUUUCAUGAUUUAAUUAUUUUUAUGCAUAUUUUUAAUUGUUUAAAAACACUUAUGACUUUUCAAAAAUAAUGAAAUUUUU